UACGAAGGGUGCAAGCGUUACUCGGAAUUACUGGGCGUAAAGCGUGCGUAGGUGGUUUCUUAAGUCUGCUGUGAAAGCCCCGGGCUCAACCUGGGAAUUGCAGUGGAUACUGGGGAGCUAGAGUGCGGUAGAGGGUAGUGGAAUUCCCGGUGUAGCGGUGAAAUGCGUAGAGAUCGGGAGGAACACCAGUGGCGAAGGCGGCUACCGGGACCAGCACUGACACUGAGGCACGAAAGCGUGGGGAGCAAACAGG
rnacentral:rRNA from 1 species